rnacentral:rRNA from 1 species
AACGAACGCUGGCGGCAGGCUUAACACAUGCAAGUCGAACGCCCCGCGAGGGGAGUGGCAGACGGGUGAGUAACGCGUGGGAAUCUACCUGGAACUACGGAACAACUGAGGGAAACUUCAGCUAAUACCGUAUACGCCCUACGGGGGAAAGAUUUAUCGGUUUCAGAUGAGCCCGCGUAAGAUUAGCUAGUUGGUGGGGUAAUGGCCUACCAAGGCGACGAUCUUUAGCUGGUCUGAGAGGAUGAUCAGCCACACUGGGACUGAGACACGGCCCAGACUCCUACGGGAGGCAGCAGUGGGGAAUAUUGGACAAUGGGCGCAAGCCUGAUCCAGCCAUGCCGCGUGAGUGAUGAAGGCCUUAGGGUUGUAAAGCUCUUUCAGUGGGGAAGAUAAUGACGGUACCCACAGAAGAAGCCCCGGCUAACUUCGUGCCAGCAGCCGCCGUAA